AAUGAAUGUUCAUUGGCCGCAGCUUCUUAGAGGGACGUGCGUUCUAUUAGACGCAGGAAGAUAGGGGCAAUAACAGGUCUGUGAUGCCCUUAGAUGUCCUGGGCCGCACGCGCGUUACACUGAUGCACUCAACGAGUCUGCCUUGGCCGAGAGGCCUGGGAAAUCUUGUUAACAUGCAUCGUGAUAGGGAUAGAUUAUUGCAAUUAUUAAUCUUGAACGAGGAAUUCCUAGUAAACGCAGAUCAUCAAUCUGCAUUGAUUACGUCCCUGCCCUUUGUACACACCGCCCGUCGCACCUACCGAUUGAAUGGUCCGGUGAAGCCUCGGGAUUGCGAUGAGUUUCCUUCAUUGGGAGUUCGUCGCGAGAACCUGUCUAAACCUUAUCAUUUAGAGGAAGGUGAAGUCGUAACAAGGUUUCC
rnacentral:rRNA from 1 species